CUUUUGGCUGGCUUUCAGGGGAGGGGCCUGCCUCGUUUUUUCGGUCAGUCUUGCUUGGGUUGAGUCCUCCUGCCCUUGAUCAAGGGGCUGGGCUCUGGAAACUGGUUUUUCAGGCUUUUGUUCUCUUGAGGUUUUUUUCCUUUUGGGGGCUUUCUGCAGCUUUUCGGAGGUUCAGUGAAAAGCAAACUGCACCCAGACCUCCACCUGAGAGAAGCCUCAGUCUGCUCCCCUCUGGGUGGUCCAGAACACACAGACUCCCCCUCUGCCAACUCCGCUGAGCCAUACAAACUCCCAAAGGCAGAGCACAUCCCCAGCCACUGUCCUGGGGUUGCCCGAAGCGCCUGCUUGUCUCUGCACCUGCUUGUCUUUGCUACUAAAACGUGGUUCCUAGUAGUUGAGGGACCUGACAGUGUCCCCAAAGGAUCACAGUCAGCACCUAGAUGCAGGCUGACUGUAAGACUGACUCUCAGGAAGCAGUCUGUGAAAUACAUAGUCAAACCUGCUUCAGAGAAAGACUUGCCAGUUCCCUCCACAUGGAGCCCUGGCGGAUACCCGGGUGAGCACCCUCACGCAUUGCUGGUACUGCAAUGUUGCUGUCACUGAUUCCCACCUCACAGUGUGGUACAAAUUAAAUUCAAUUAACAAUCUGCCUACAGAAGGUUGUGAUGACCACUUCCCAUCGGAUGUAUUUGCCCCGCCACACAGAGCCCGGCCCCGGCAGAACACACCCAGCUGACUCCACGUCCAGGUAGCAGGUGGUUUUCUAGUCCCCUUCAUGACUGCAGUGUCACACCCUUCAAGAGUGUGGCUUUCGAUCGGAUCUGAGGUUGAACUUACUGCCUUGGCUGCACCCGAAGUUCCUGUUCUCGGGUGACCAUUAGCCCCCGGGUCAGGCUGUCCAAUCUGGCAGCUUAUAUGGGCACAGUCCCUCCCAGAGUCCUUCUUGGCUCCUGAAAUGUUCUUUAUUCUCCAGGAAGCUUUCCUUUGCAUGUGCAAUGUUUUACACAGCGUGUCUCCAGCUUUUUCCUCUUGCCUGAUUCAUCCAGUCCACAGUUAAUCUAAAACUGAACAGCCCUCGACAGUCUCACCAUACAGAUGAGGACAAGCCAUGUGUAGAUGGGAUUGCAAAGAAAGUCCAGGAAAGAAACUGUGUAACUAGUCAUCAUACCGGGUAACCCAAACCUGAUUGAUUUAGACCAGGCUGAGGAGGGCAGAGCCCUGGAAUUCUCUGGGAAUCUGAGGUGGAGCUUGUGCAAAAGAUAAUUAUUAAGGAACACUUGAUGGCUGGUACUCAGGACUCACUCUAUGGAACCUCAGCAGGGACUGCCGCCCUCCAACAGUUCAUUGUUUUUCUCUCGAGCUUUCACUGCAACCUUCUCCAGUGUGAGGGGUCAGCCUCCUCACUCUCCCCAAGCCCCCACACUCAGCCCGCCUCUUCUCUCUCAAGGCUCUCAGUGUGUGAUUUCUCCAUGGCUGCACUCCAUCCCCUCUCCCUUCUUCUAAAAACACUGUGAAGAGCUAACUCUUGUAAAUGUUAAAAAGAUGUGGGGCCAGUAGAAAUUCUGCCCUCGGUGCCUCUACAAGGAAACAACCAUCCGUUCUUGACUGCCUAUAAGUUCAACCUUAUGUAAGAAGUUUUCAAGACUUACAAAACAAGUGAAAGUGACAAAAGUCCUGGCAGAAAGGCCUUGCUGAGCUUGGUGUGCACUGGCAUGAUGGGCACCGGGGGCCUCGGGGAGCAGUGAGCAGACGAUUUAGUCACCUGGCUGGGGAGGCCAGAGAGAAGAACAUCGUUUUUCCGAGCAAGAUCCUUGCUCGGGAAAAACAAAGGUGCUGCAGAAACUGCUGUGAGGCCCUCACAGCUUCUGACCACGGCGGGCCAGGGGUUAAGGCCAGGUCUUGGGCCCUCUGCCAAGCAUAUAACACGAGAUGGAAGUUUCUUGUGAACAACAUCAACAAAAAUACAGUGGAUACUCCAAUACUCUAUAGGAAAGUGUCCUGCACCCAAAGUGCUGUUUGGUUAAGCUAAAUAAUUUAUUUACUUUUUUAUGGUUGUGUGAAACAGUGUCACGGUAUGGUUUGACUCGGCCAUCAUCAUCUCAACCCAAGUGCAGACUGUCUCAUGUGUAAAAACAAAAACAAAACAGAAAACAACCCCACCCCAAACAAACAAACAACCCAACCAAACAAGAAACUCAAAAACAACAAAUCUGAGUGACUUGACUUUGGAAGCAGGCAAAACCUUGUGUCUCUGUAUUUCUGAUGUUAUUCUUUAUAAAGAGGGAAAGUAAACAGUGAGGUGAAAGAUACAAGGAUACCUGACAGCGUGGGUAUGUCUGCAGCACCCCUGACUGUCAGAGACAGGGCUGGCUGCCCCCAAGGCCUUUCUUUGAUCGGUUCAGCACAUGCAGCUGUAACGGUCAGCCCAGAGUCCCAUGACCUUAGGGUCUCCUCUGGUCCCCAAAGCCCACUUCGCUCAUGGUGGGGAGGGGCAGGAGGCCAGGUCAGAAGUGCCAGGAAAUGGAUGCCCCCCACCCCAGCAGCCCUCCCACAGUGAUGUACAAGUGGGUUUGGGUCAGUUGUUAAGGGGGAAACAUGCCUACGUUGAGGCCUUGGUUGCAAUAAUUAAUUAUGUCCUUUUAUAAGACAGAAAAGUGUUCGAGUAGAGACUCUGCAUCUCUAUUCUUUUCAUCUUAAAAAAAAAAACCCAGAGGAUGCAAAUGAACAAAGAAUGAUGAUUAAGUGUCCAUUCAGAGUUCUAAAGAACGGAUUAGGAAGGAUAUGCAAGUUCCACAGAUCAUAUACUUUCCAAGGAGCCCAUUUUUCCAAGAAUAAAACGUUUAAGAAAUUGAUUCCUUUGAUUAUUUUUUUCUUGUUUGUUUUUUAGGAAACAACAGUUGCUUAGAAAUAUCUAUGGUGUUGGUCAAAUGAUUCAAUUCUAAAAUCAGGCCUCGGUGCACUAAUAAGCUCAGUGCUACAGGACCAUGUUCCUAUGAAGUGGAUUCAGAGUGAGGACAAAGCAGAGCCCCUAUCUUCAUACACAAGGGCUCCAUGGAGCAGGGACUUCAGGGAUCUUGGAGACUGCCUGGCCUUUGAUAAGCCUUCAAUAAAUAUCUGUUAUGCAGAUUUCAAAUAAAUGAAAUGAAAUACUGGUAUACAUGAGACACAAAAAAUGAAAACUAAGAACCACUGCUCACUUGGCACACUACUAGUCAGUAAUCUGUCCCCCUUUCAGCCUAUUCUCUAAGAUGUCACAAGAAUUAUUGUUCUUAAAAUAUGAAUUGAUCAGAUCAUGUCUAAAACUACCCAAAGGCAUCAAAAUGUUAAUGAGGAAUAUAAAACUACUGAGGAGACCCCAUGGGGCCCUCUGUAAUCUGUCUUCAAUUUGCCCUGAGCAUCUUUUCAUUUCCCCUGUAGCUAAUGUUCCAAACAUAUGCAUUUGCUUUCCCCAAACAUGUGGCUCCAACCCAGGGCUCUGCUCUCCCACUGCCAUCUGCCCUGAAUGCCCGGUCCCGGCGUUUCUUCCUGGGGAAUUCUGACUCAUCUUUCAGCAAUGUGCUUUAUUACACCUGUCUGCAUGGUGCUACAUUAUUUGCUUGUGUUCCUCUCUUUUCCUUUACAUCUGAAAUUCCUUCAAGGGAUGGACAACAAUUGAUUAAACUUUAUACACAGUGCUCGGGAAUUGGUAGGUACUGAAUAAAUGAGCAAAUGGGUGAAUGCUAUGUACAUGCAUAAGAAAGGAAAAUGAUAGGGUGGGGUGGGCAGACACAAGAAGAUGAGUUUCUUUGUGUUACUGGCAAGAUAUUUAUACUAUUAUGUCAUUAUAGUAUAUUAAAACAUUUGACCUUCAAAUUUACAUUAUGAUAACAAUCAGCCAAAACAGCCACACAAUUAACUAAAAGAACAAAAUUCAAAACGUAUUUUUCCAGUAUAGAUUUUGAGGUUGUAAAGGAAAAUACAUAGGGUAAGUACAGAGACAGCAUAAACCUGGACUUGGAAGAACAUAAGAAUCAUGGGGUAUACAUGUGACUCUAGGGGGGAAAACAAACAAACAAAAGAAAAACUCACUAUGUACAAUCUUGAUCUUUCUUCCAUUUACCAGUGAUCAUGUGGAACUUAUUCUCCCUCUUUUUUUCUUUUCUUUUUUUUGGUAAAAAGUACACCAUUUAAAUUUCCUUCCAUAAUCUCAUCUUAAUCUUGGCACUAGUUGUAUAGGAGUUCAGAGAAAAUCUAGAUGAUCACUGGGGAAGUUGUGUACAAUCAUGGGGAGGGUUCAGUAUGGAUUUGUGUUAUUACCUUUCUAACCAGCACACUGAUUAAGAAGAUGUAUCCCUGGGGCGCCUGGGUGGCUCAGUGGGUUAAGCCGCUGCCUUUGGCUCAGGUCGUGAUCUCAGGGUCCUGGGAUCGAGUCCCGCAUCGGGCUCUCUGCUCGGCAGGGAGCCUGCUUCCUCCUCUCUCUCUGCCUGCCUCUCUGCCUACUUGUAAUCUCUCUCUGUCAAAUAAAUAAAUAAAAAAUCUUAAAAAAAAAAAAAAAGAAGAAGAUGUAUCCCUUCAUUCAUUAGCAGGGAAGGCACUCUACCACUGAACUGUUGACUCUAAAUACUCCAGAGUUUAUAAAGCGUGGUUGUAUUUAUGUUUACAAGACUCAGAAGAGUGCCCUCAAAGGUAUUGCUGGCUGUGUUGCUUCCUUUUUGUUAAUCUCACUGCCUUUUAAAUAUUUAAAGAGUAGAUGAAAUAAAUUAUGAAGUUAUUCUCUAUUUUCUCCUUAAUAAGAGGUAUUACUUGCCUUUCUCUAAACUACGGUAGGUAAGUCUAUGCAGCUGCUUUCUA